rnacentral:rRNA from 1 species
CAGUAGCCGCGGGAAUACGUAGGUGGCAAGCGUUGUCCGGAAUUAUUGGGCGUAAGGGCUCGCAGGCGGUUUCUUAAGUCUGAUGUGAAAGCCCCCGGCUCAACCGGGGAGGGUCAUUGGAAACUGGGAAACUUGAGUGCAGAAGAGGAGAGUGGAAUUCCACGUGUAGCGGUGAAAUGCGUAGAGAUGUGGAGGAACACCAGUGGCGAAGGCGACUCUCUGGUCUGUAACUGACGCUGAGGAGCGAAAGCGUGGGGAGCGAACAGGAUUAGAUACCCCAGUAGUCCCUGUCUCUUAUACA